AGAGUUUGAUCCUGGCUCAGAUUGAACGCUGGCGGCAUGCUUUACACAUGCAAGUCGAACGGCAGCGGGGGCUUCGGCCUGCCGGCGAGUGGCGAACGGGUGAGUAAUGCAUCGGAACGUGCCCAGUCAUGGGGGAUAACUACGCGAAAGCGUAGCUAAUACCGCAUACGCCCUGAGGGGGAAAGCGGGGGAUCGCAAGACCUCGCGUGAUUGGAGCGGCCGAUGUCGGAUUAGCUAGUUGGUGGGGUAAAGGCCUACCAAGGCGACGAUCCGUAGCGGGUCUGAGAGGAUGAUCCGCCACACUGGGACUGAGACACGGCCCAGACUCCUACGGGAGGCAGCAGUGGGGAAUUUUGGACAAUGGGGGCAACCCUGAUCCAGCCAUGCCGCGUGAGUGAAGAAGGCCUUCGGGUUGUAAAGCUACUUUCAGACGGAAAGAAAUCGGGCGGGUGAA
rnacentral:rRNA from 1 species